rnacentral:other from 1 species
CGAAGACUGAGUUAUGCGUGAACUUCAAUUUUUGAACCUACAUUAGCCAGUCGGGAGAUUUAUACUGAACUACCGAUACCGGGCCCAGAGUAAGUCCUUUUCAGGCAGGGGAAGGUAGAAGGGUUCAUGCGAUCACCCACCUAUCGAGAGAUAGGUGUCAAAAAAUGAAGUAACGGUUCCUCGGUUUGCAU